UGGCUUUGGUGGCGCUGUAUCCUAGUCAAAGCGCGCCGGUCUCGAAGAAGGGCCUAAAAAUCCUUUAAAGGGCAUAUCGAUGAAGUCCCUGGUGCUUGCUUUUUUCGCCCAGAUUAGGGUGGGUGCUGGGGGUUAAGGCUUUCGGGCGAGGUGUAAUGGCAUAUACCGACCGACCCGAUUUCCGUGGAGACCUGCUAUUGUGCGACAGCCGUCCAGUGGCAUUCAAAGCGCAACCCGGACUGCGUACGAAACAGGAGUAGAACCUGCAAUGCGGUGCACAGAAUCGUGUGCUGUGUGCAGCGUAGCCUGCCUUGCGUGGACAUGCGGGGAUAGAGGAGCGAAGCGUUUCCGGCCGUGGCCGCGGCUGAGGGCGAUAUUGCCUCUUGAAACCAUGCCUGCAAAAGAGGAUAGAACCGGUGCGUGAUGUUGUGGAAAUCACCUAGGCUGACUUUCCCCAAAGGGCAGAUAAAGGAUUGCAGUGCGGACUAAGUGGCAAUCGGGUAUCGGACGCGGCGACGCUCCGACAAGGCUUUAAUCGGAAACGGCCAUUCGGCAACGGAUGGCAGCCGAAGGGGAAAUCCAACCCGACCUAAGCCGCAAGAUUUACUUUAUCUGCUGCCACCAUUCUUUUU
rnacentral:sRNA from 1 species